rnacentral:rRNA from 1 species
GUCUCAGUUCGGAUUGAAGGCUGAAAUUCGCCUUCAUGAAGCCGGAAUUGCUAGUAAUGGCAGGUCAGCAUACUGCCGUGAAUACGUUCCCCGGGGCCUUGUACACACCGCCCGUCACACCAUGAGAGUUGGGAAUACCCGAAGCCUGUGAGCUAACUUUUAGAGGCAGCAGUCGAAGGUAGAAUCAAUGAUUGGGGUGAAGUCGUAACAAGGUAUC